rnacentral:rRNA from 1 species
UACGGAGGGUGCAAGCGUUAUCCGGAUUCACUGGGUUUAAAGGGUGCGUAGGUGGGAAGGUAAGUCAGUGGUGAAAUCCCCGAGCUUAACUUGGGAACUGCCAUUGAUACUAUCUUUCUUGAAUACCUUGGAGGUGAGCGGAAUAUGUCAUGUAGCGGUGAAAUGCUUAGAUAUGACAUAGAACACCAAUUGCGAAGGCAGCUCACUACACGGUCAUUGACACUGGGGCACGAAAGCGUGGGGAUCAAACAGG